rnacentral:tRNA from 1 species
GCCCCUCAGGUGGCACAAUGGGUCAGUGCAUCUGGCUGUUAACCAAAAGGUUGGUGGUUCGAGCCCACCCAAAGAGGGCUGUGGGCA